rnacentral:rRNA from 1 species
UUCCGGUUGAUCCUGCCGGAGGUCAUUGCUAUUGGGGUCCGAUUUAGCCAUGCUAGUCGUACGAUCUCGUAUCGUGGCAAAUAGCUCCGUAACACGUGGCCAAACUGCCCUACAGAGCGUGAUACCCUCGGGAAACUGAGGCUAAUAACGCAUACGCGUCCCCCGCUGGAAUGCCGGGACGGCAAAACGCUCAGGCGCUGUAGGAUGUAGCUGCGGCCGAUUAGGUAGACGGUGGGGUAACGGCCCACCGUGCCGAUAAUCGGUACGGGUUGUGAGAGCAAGAGCCCGGAGACGGAAUCUGAGACAAGAUUCCGGGCCCUACGGGGCGCAGCAGGCGCGAAACCUUUACACUGCACGCAAGUGCGAUAAGGGGACCCCAAGUGCGAGGGCAUAUCGUCCUCGCUUUUGUGUACCGUAGGGAGGUACACGAAUAAGAGCUGGGCAAGACCGGUGCCAGCCGCCGCGGUAAUACCGGCAGCUCGAGUGAUGACCGAUUUUAUUGGGCCUAAAGCGUCCGUAGCUGGCCACGCAAGUCCAUCGGGAAAUCCGCACGCUCAACGUGCGGGCGUCCGGUGGAAACUGCGUGGCUUGGGACCGGAAGACUCGACGGGUACGUCCGGGGUAGGAGUGAAAUCCCGUAAUCCUGGACGGACCACCGAUGGCGAAAGCACGUCGAGAGGACGGCUCCGACAGUGAGGGACGAAAGCUAGGGUCUCGAACCGGAUUAGAUACCCGGGUAGUCCUAGCCGUAAACGAUGUCUGCUAGGUGCGACGCUGACUACGAGUCAGUGUCGUGCCGUAGGGAAGCCGCUAAGCAGACCGCCUGGGAAGUACGUCCGCAAGGAUGAAACUUAAAGGAAUUGGCGGGGGAGCACUACAACCGGAGGAGCCUGCGGUUUAAUUGGACUCAACGCCGGU